GAUGAACGCUGGCGGCGUGCCUAAUACAUGCAAGUCGAGCGAACGGACGAGAAGCUUGCUUUUCUGAUGUUAGCGGCGGACGGGUGAGUAACACGUGGAUAACCUACCUAUAAGACUGGGAUAACUUCGGGAAACCGGAGCUAAUACCGGAUAAUAUUUUGAACCGCAUGGUUCAUAAGUGAAAGACGGUCUUGCUGUCACUUAUAGAUGGAUCCGCGCUGCAUUAGCUAGUUGGUAAGGCAACGGCUUACCAAGGCAACGAUGCAUAGCCGACCUGAGAGGGUGAUCGGCCACACUGGAACUGAGACACGGUCCAGACUCCUACGGGAGGCAGCAGUAGGGAAUCUUCCGCAAUGGGCGAAAGCCUGACGGAGCAACGCCGCGUGAGUGAUGAAGGUCUUCGGAUCGUAAAACUCUGUUAUUAGGGAAGAACAUAUGUGUAAGUAACUGUGCACAUCUUGACGGCACCUAAUCAGAAAGCCACGGCUAACUACGUG
rnacentral:rRNA from 1 species